rnacentral:rRNA from 1 species
AUGCGAGGUAUAGCCUUGGCACUAGGUGCGCCGUCGGAUGCUUUCCAAGGCGGAACGGCGGGAGAUCCCUUCUGGUAUCUCAGGCUGAUUGGGUAUCCAGCCCCAGCUAGUAUUCCACAGGAGCAACGCACUGAUACUGGAUGUGGAGCUCACACGGAUUACGGCCUUUUGACACUGGUUAACCAAGAUGAUGACAUUUGUGCUCUUGAGGUCAGAAACCUGUCUGGCGAGUGGAUACAGGCGAAGCCAGUCCCUGGGACCUUUGUGUGCAACAUUGGUGACAUGCUAGAGGUUUGGUCUAAUGGAAUAUAUCAGCCCACACUCCAUAGAGUUUUCAACGACUCCCUUCAUUACCGUGUAUCUGUUGCCUUCUUUUACGAGUCAAACUUCGAUGCCGUGGUUGAGCCGCGGAGCUAUGCCGGCAGAAAACGGGUGGCGUUGCCAAGUACGACAAGGUGGUGUACGGGGAGCAUCUGGUCAAGAAAGUUCUGA